rnacentral:rRNA from 3 species
AACCUGCGGAAGGAUCAUUAU